rnacentral:rRNA from 1 species
GGGUUGUGAGGUUAAGCGACUAAGCGUACACGGUGGAUGCCCUGGCAGUCAGAGGCGAUGAAGGGCGUGCUAAUCUGCGAUAAGCGCCGGUAAGGUGAUAUGAACCGUUAUAACCGGCGAUACCCGAAUGGGGAAACCCAGUGUGAUUCGUCACACUAUCAUUAACUGAAUCCAUAGGUUAAUGAGGCGAACCGGGGGAACUGAAACAUCUAAGUACCCCGAGGAAAAGAAAUCAACCGAGAUUCCCCCAGUAGCGGCGAGCGAACGGGGAGGAGCCCAGAGCCUGAAUCAGCAUGUGUGUUAGUGGAAGCGUCUGGAAAGGCGCGCGAUACAGGGUGACAGCCCCGUACACAAAAGCGCAUAUGCUGUGAGCUCGAUGAGUAGGGCGGGACACGUGGUAUCCUGUCUGAAUAUGGGGGGACCAUCCUCCAAGGCUAAAUACUCCUGACUGACCGAUAGUGAACCAGUACCGUGAGGGAAAGGCGAAAAGAACCCCGGCGA